CCUCAUGUGUAGUGAUGAAGUCCCAAGUUGUUGUCCCAGACAUAUUUCAGUCAGCAUGAGGCUCCUUUGUCUCUUUCUACUUGUCUUCCUGCUGUUCCAGCCGGCCUGUCUGGAUAAGUCAGGCACAGAACGAUGCAGGCGGCUGAAGGGCCUUUGCCGACAUACCCUCUGCCAUCCAGUGGAAGUCUACGUGGGCCGAUGCAACAACGGAAUGGGGAACUGCUGCGUCGAUGAUGCAGAAGACAUUCGGAAACGCAGCCACUAGAACCUCUGCUGCUCCUGGCAGUGUAGGAAGGCUAAGCAGUCCAAACAACGCUUGUCAUUUUGGACUUUGAGUGGUCCAGGAUGGGGGAAA